rnacentral:tRNA from 1 species
AUCCAUGUAGCUUAAUGGUAGAACGCUAUCUCUGCAAGAUAGUAACGGCGGUUCAACUCCGCCCAUGGAUU